rnacentral:rRNA from 1 species
UAUAGCUUGACACUGAACAUUGAGCCUUGAUGUGUAGGAUAGGUGGGAGGCUUUGAAGUGUGGACGCCAGUCUGCAUGGAGCCGACCUUGAAAUACCACCCUUUAAUGUUUGAUGUUCUAACGUUGGCCCGUAAUCCGGGUUGCGGACAGUGUCUGGUGGGUAGUUUGACUGGGGCGGUCUCCUCCUAAAGAGUAACGGAGGAGCACGAAGGUUGGCUAAUCCUGGUCGGACAUCAGGAGGUUAGUGCAAUGGCAUAAGCCAGCUUGACUGCGAGCGUGACGGCGCGAGCAGGUGCGAAAGCAGGUCAUAGUGAUCCGGUGGUUCUGAAUGGAAGGGCCAUCGCUCAACGGAUAAAAGGUACUCCGGGGAUAACAGGCUGAUACCGCCCAAGAGUUCAUAUCGACGGCGGUGUUUGGCACCUCGAUGUCGGCUCAUCACAUCCUGGGGCUGAAGUAGGUCCCAAGGGUAUGGCUGUUCGCCAUUUAAAGUGGUACGCGAGCUGGGUUUAGAACGUCGUGAGACAGUUCGGUCCCUAUCUGCCGUGGGCGCUGGAGAACUGAGGGGGGCUGCUCCUAGUACGAGAGGACCGGAGUGGACGCAUCACUGGUGUUCGGGUUGUCAUGCCAAUGGCACUGCCCGGUAGCUAAAUGCGGAAGAGAUAAGUGCUGAAAGCAUCUAAGCACGAAACUUGC